UAUGAAGUGUUAAUAUUGAUUUCCAUGGGUAUGGGAAAGAGCUAAUGCUAUGCAGUGCAUACUGAAAAUCCUAUGACAGUUACAGGAAGGAGAAAAAAACUCUUUAAAUUGAAGGGUGAAAAUUGUGUAUUAUAACAGUUAUGCCUCUGGGUGGAUGUGUAAGCAUAAGGGUACUGAAAUGGCUUCUUUUCAAAACAUACGUGUUUGUGACAGUUUGGUACUGAAAAAGCCAGUGAGUCACAUACGGAAAACAUAUAAGCUGAGCAAAAGUGUCAAGGUGUGACAGAGGGCAAAGUUAAAUUACUUCAAAUAAGAAAAAAAACAUUAGUUUUCAAAAGAAUAAUUGCUGUGUGUCUUCCUAGGAAUAUAGUUGUAUCAUUAAAAUAUCAUUUAUGUAUUAGACGGAAUUAACUCUUACACUGAGAACCUCGUUACUGAGUGGUGUUAGAAGGAAUUACACAGUAUUUAGCUUCUCUUCCCUCUGUAUUCAAACCCCAAAUAUCUUAUUAAAAGAAAAAAAAAUAAAGAGAAGGAAGCGGAGAGCACUGGUAGCCAUUACAUAUACAUCUGCUACUUGACCUCAGUUUGAAUGAUGUAUACAGAUCCUCUCCACCUUAAAGCAGUACAGUAAAAUGUAAUGGUGUAGAUAGCAUAGCAAAACUCAGUAAGAUACAAAGAAAAGUGAUGAGGAUAAAGAGAAGUUGGGACAGAUUUUGUGCAUGUAUUAAGGGAAAUUCAACUAUGAAAAGUGGGAAAGAGGAGCUGGAAAUGAAAAAUAGAAACAAUAAGGUACUUGCACUCAUAUGCUCAUGCAGGGGUAUCUGUAAAUGACUGGUCAAAAUCACGCUAGUUUUUAUACCAUAAUAAACUAGCUUGAUUUUCAGUUGACACCACUAUCUCUAUACUUACCAAAUAAAUGUACUUGCAUUCUGAAAUGAUGUUUCUUUUUACGAAGGACAAUAAGCCUUUUAUUUUCACAAACAUCGUCCUUACGUACCCUCAUAUAACUUCUACAGAAGUUACUGGAUGUCUUCCAAAUUCUAGGGAAAUGAUAAGCGAGUGGCACUGGACUGAAUAACAGAGAAAGUCUUAUAAAUCUGUAAGUCACAAGUAAAUAGCUUGGCACCCCUUUGGGCCUAAAGUCUUGCAUUUUGACUGCUCUGCUCUUCUUAAUCCAGGAUGAGUUGAAGAAGAAAGAAGACUAAGUUACAAACAUGCUUUUUAAGAUUUGUUAAAUCUGGGAACUAAGCAACGCUGAAUUUGUGUCAUAACGGCGGUUAAAAAAGACUGGUGCGUGUCAGAACUGGAUGUCAAAUUGUGUUGUUCACCGGUCCUACGUCUGAGCUCCUCACCUUGCUUUCCACAUGCUGCUUUGAGGUAGGUGGGAAAGCUUCCUUCUGCAAGCAUCUUUGUCAAGAAUAUUGCACCCACUUGCCACUCGUACUUCUCUGCACUGCAGCAGCAGUGUCACUGUUGGUAUGCUAAGAACAGCGGCCACAGGGGUAUCCCCAUUCACUUCUGUCCGGUCCAGCUUCCCACUGGAAUCCCUUAAUAUUUCUAGGGGCCUGAAGAUGCUGCUGAUUCACAGUAAUUGUCACUUUUGUGUAAUGAAAGGAUUCUGUGAUGUUGGUAGGAUAUUUUCCCUGGGAUCUCAUUAAAGAUGGUGUAAUUCUGUAAAAAACACAAAAAAAUUGGUCAUCCAGACUGUGUCAAAUUCUUCUCGAAGAGAUGUUCAGGCUCGGAUGAGGAUAUAUUUUCCAAAAUGCUAAAACAUUUAUUAGAAGGCGGAAAACAAAAGAAGAACAUAGUCAAGAAUAUUUGCUCUUACUCUGCUCACAAAUCAUUCUCAAACAGACUGAAAUUAAGGAAUUUGCUCUUAUUCAGAAUUACUCAAAAAUAGAUUGUGCAAAAAUAGAACCAUUGUUCACUGGGUCUUUCUGUAAUACUUACCUAAAUCAUAUUCUAUUGUUCCUUUACUUUGAUUAGAUCACUACAAUAUUUUUAAAUCUGUUAAAGGGUGAUCAGAGGUUUUCUAGCGUUGAGUUCUUGAGGCUGUUGCUGAGAAGUAGAAACUAACAAAUCCAUCCAUGAAUUUGAGGAACAAAUAUUUAAUCAAAUUUCAUUGACAACAUCACCACCUUUUAUUUUUGCAAGGCAUAGGUGCCUCUAUUUGACACCAAGUAUGAAGUCCGCUCCAAAAGUAAUGCCUUCUCUUUUAUUGUGUUGGCCCAUGAUGUCAGAGGCAGAUGGUGGUACGACAGUAGAGGCUGAACAUUCUCUCCACUACCCCAUUCCAUGUUGUUGCCAUGCGACAGCUGGCAGCAGAGGGGCACUCAGAACUAAAUGGUGUCAGACAUGGAAGAGCAUGUUAAGCAAAGGGUGUCACUGAAUGCUUCCAUGUGGAAAAAAUUGCACCACUGAUAUUCGACACUUGCUGAAUGUUGAGACUUAGCAGCGGAUGAGAGCACACUGAGGCGGUGGGUGGUGUGUUUCAGCAGCAGCGACAGCUGGUCACCUCUGCUGGUGCAGAUUUUUUUAGCAUGGUACGCAUUCAUCGCUGGUGAAAGUGCAUAGGUAAUGGCUAUGACCAUGUUGAAAACUAGUGUUUUGUAGCUGAGAAUUCUUUCUAUCAAAUAGUGGUCCUGUGCUCUUUGUAUCUGCUGGAGUUUCCAUGGAAAUACAUAGAAUGAAUUACUUUUGGAGCAACCUGGAUAAUUUUUAUAAUGUUUGAAAUAAUUUUAAGGGAGAUGCUGACUCUGGACUGCAGCACCAUACAUUUUCUGUUGCUCAGCUGCCGUAAAUAGAUGACAAAAUAAACUCAAUCUGCUCCAAGGCAUAGCUUUAAAGCAUGUUCAGAAGCAAGUAAGUACUUUACACAUCUUCCAAGGUUUGUUUUAGGAAUCAGAUGAAGAGUGAAAGCUGUCACAGCUAAAGCCCUUUUACAGGCAGAAGGGUCGCAGUGCAGCCUAUGCACUGGAGCUUUUUAACAGCUGCCUAAUUUGGAUCAGGAGCACGGACACUUUCCAAGGACUGACUGCUUCCCCUGAUGAGGGUUCCACACACAUUUCUUUGAGGGCAGUACUGUCUUAAACAUCCUUAUCUCUAACAAGUGCUUCUUGCCCCCCUUCCUGCUGUGCUCGUACAACUCAUUCCACGGCUUAGUAGUAAACUGGACCAGGAAAUGAUACCUAAAAAUAAAUAAAUAAACAAAGCCAAAAUAGUUUUUUUUGAGGGGCAUCGCUUACUGUCAAAGUAAACAGAGAACUAGAGUAUGUUAACUUAAACUGAUAAUUUAUCUCUGCUAUAUUAUCUAUCUAAAAAUACAGUACUUUCAAAUGAUGGAAGCAUGCAUUAGAUUCCUAUUUUUAGGUAAAAUUAUGUUAUUCUUAGAUGAAGUCAUAUUUCCAUUGCCAUACAUUUAAGAUAGCUGUUCGAAAAUAUUUUCAAACUAACUGUAGUCAAAUCAUCUUCUUUUGAAAAUAGAUUCAGAUCAUUUUCUUAUUUAAUUACUCUUAUUUUAAUUGAAAUGUUAGGUGUAGUUAUGCGGAUCAAAUACUGAUGGUGAACCUAGGAAGAGAUGCGUUCUGAAUGUUAACAUCAAAAACUUAUUGUAGUGGAAAUGCUAAGUCAUGGCUUGAAGCACUGAGCACCUGGUGGGAAGGCAGGGUCAACCAGAGGAGCGUGCAAUGAACCUGAGUGACCAGAAGGGGUGGAUCCAGGAUCCACUCCUUCCCAGACCUCAUUUAAGGUUUGGCAGUGGAGGUGAGGGUAUUUCUCUGGAGAUUCCUGUAUACUUGAGGGCUUUUAAAGGUAAGUAGCUUCUUUCCAUUAUUUCUCUGUCCACUUUGUUUGAGCAAAUCCUUGUUUGUGGUAGCCUGGGAUCUUGUUAUCCUGCUGUCAUUGCUGCGCUUUCUGUCACUUAUAUUGUUCUCUUAUUUUCCAUUGGCCAUUUGCAGCUGAUGAGGGAGUUCUUUUUGUUUUCCAAGUAAUUUAAUGAUGUUUCACUCUGUGAAGAAGCUGCAAAUUAAAAUAAAAUCCAUGUUCAAUUUAUCCAGUUAUUAUAUUUCCACCAUGGGAAUACAGUGCACCGUGAAUUAGUUCUCUGUAAUGACUAUCACUUUGUUAGCAUGAAGAUGAUGUGUAUAGAGUUCAUUGUACUGGAUUCAACUCGAUAUUUAUCACGUUCUUUAGAUAAUUAUACCUAAACUUCAUGGAAAGGUAAGCUAGUGAAAGGUCAUAGUUGGGUGGAGCUAAUUUCUUUUUUCCUGCCAGAAAAAAAUGAAUGUCUGUUGCUUUUCUCUGAAAAUACAAGGGAAAAAAAAAAAAAAAGAAAAAAAGAGAAAAAGAGAUUAUCCCACAAUGACUUGCAUGUUGAUCACUUUGUUGUCUUCCCCCAUCCAUCUAAGAAGGUGGGGGAGAGAGUGCUUAGCCACCGGUGUGAUUAAACCACAACUGCACUACUUCAGGUUCCACUGUCUGGAACACAUUGGCUUUACCAGGAAAGUGAAGACAGCAAGCUGCUGGUAAACUACUGCUGGUUUCCAGAUAUGCUGAAGCCAAGCCCUCCUGCUUCCCUAGACCCCUUUUUCAGAGGUAAGAUCCCCAUAACGAAGUGCUUUCUUGUUCAGCUCCGAUUCAAGCAGAUAUUGUCUUGUGCAUGUUUUUCUAUCUGAAGUCUAGCUUAAGCAUUUUAGUAUCUUGAAAUCUUUGAGUAUAUAAGCAAAUAGAAGUAGCACAUAGUUUACCAAAAAAAAAAAAAGAGUUACUGCUAUUGAGUCUUAACAUGAUCCAGCAAUUUUGGUAACAGCAUGGCUCAGACUUAAGAAUACAAAUACAUUUGAGCUGGUAAGUCCAGAGCAACAGUAUUUUUUUCUUAAGUUUGACAGUUUACCUCUGUUACCUCCUCAAAAUUCACACAUUUCCUUGUUCUAGGAAGUUCUGUGGAUUACUGCAGUAGAAUUCCCAGACCACUGAACUUUUCCUGUUUAAAUGGCUUAGACUUAUUUUCUUGUUCUAUUUCCUAAUGAUCUAAGUCAAUUUAGGUUGUACAUCUUGUAAAAUAUCUAUAGCAAACAGGAUGCGUACCCUGUAUGCAUGAUACAGGAAUGUUUCACACCCAUCUACAUAUCCAAAGAUGUCAGAAAAGCAAUCUCCCUGUGCCUCCUGCAACUAUUAAGAAUUAUUACAUGGUGACCUCUCAAAUCAUAGACUAAAGCAACUUUCAAGAACGUGGUACUUAUGCUUAGAAAGCACCUAAACUCAGCUCCUCCCAGCCCUGCCUCUUCCCUUCCAGCCUGGGAACACCACCAGGAAGCAGCCACCACUGUCCAGGAGCCUCCACCAGCACCCAGGACGUGCCAGCCUGGUCCCUCAUGAAUCAGAGCAUCCAGAGAACAUCUCUAUUUUCUAAGAGACUGCCUGUGUUCCCAAGGCAUCCUUGUGGCAGCAGCGGAUGGCAGAGACACUGCAGCCGUCCCCACUUGCCGGGGAGUGUUAGCAUAUAUGUAUGCUUACAAAACUAAAUAUAAAGCUGAGUAGUCUGGGACAGUGGUUAAAAUGGACACUUGCAAAGAUGCUAGAAUUAAACAGCAAUUACCCUAAUUUUGUUCAGUUUAUCUGGCAUAAAAUUGAUAUAACUAACGUAUUUUGAAUAUCUCUCGAUGGUUUUGUGCGUUGUAUUGGCAGUCACUGAAUCUGAGGCAUUGGUAUAAAAAUAAAUUCUCCUCACUGAACAUUCACAGCUCUAGUGAAGAUUAUUCCCAGGACCUGUAACGUGUCGUCCAGGAGGGAUCCCACCUGGAACAACUGAAAUAAAAACUUCAUUUUCCUGCAAUGCUGAAGUCAUACAUUGCAGAAAAAAACUACACAAUGUGAGAAUAUACAUUUUCUAUGAAACGUGCAUCAAGAAUUGUACUCUAAUUGGAAACCCUAACCCAGAAGGGGUUCUAGAAAUGAAGUCAGUGAAAAAACCUAAGAUUUGUUUGGGCUGGCUUGUUUGCAGAAGAUUUAAAAGGCAAAGAGGUUAUGAAAAAUACGAAUAUAUUGAUACUGUUUGAGCUUUCCCUUACGUUCCCUGUAAAUAGACUAGAAGCAGUAUCACGUUAAGACAUCCACUUGGUGUAAUACAAUUACUAUAUUAAAAUUUACGCCGUUCGUUGAAGGACGUCUGCUGAAGCUGCCAAAGCCUCCCUCUUGGACCUUCUGUCACCUUACGCUGUUUAAUGUGACAUGAUUAUCUUAACUGGUUUUGAAAUUCAUCUACAGAUACACAACACGUUUGAACAGCUUCUUUCUUGUGUAGACAAUUCACUUGAGAUGGCGGUGAUAUAAUUCAUUAUGAAAAGACUGCAAGCAAAAUGCUAAAUGUGGAUGUAACUGUUUGGUACUGGAGAACUGCCGUCUGGAAACCCUAUAAUUUAAAGAAGCUUAGGUCUCCAAUGUGUAGCCUAGGCUUGGCUCUUGCUAUAAUGACAUUUUCAUGUUCAUUGUUCUAGAGCCUUUCCAUAUGGACCUGAGGGAACACUACGGUAAGAACAAAUUCAGAAGAGAUUACUUAGUCAAUGUCUAGAAGGAACAGACCAGGUCAAAAUGCUGAAACUAAGUUGAUCAUCAUGUUACAUUUUGGCCACCUAAAUGGUGACUGUUUCAUAGAGCAAAAAUACUUCUUACCAUUGACUAUUGAAUAUGAACACAAAAAAAAAGAAAACUACAUGGGCCUGAUGAUCAGUAAUGGUCUUACAGUAUUUUCUAUUGUGGCAAAUAAGCAGUGGCCUUAUGCCUGGGGAGUGAGACUGACAUGAAGCUUGAUGAAAAUAAGAUGGCAACUGCUCUAUUGAGGGUACAAACUGCAAGCAAAGAUUUAUUAUCACAGUAAGAGUCACAACUGAGGUCCAAGUCUGAGGUUUAUUCAAAUGCUGAAGCAUUUCAGAGUUUGAUCCUUGUAUUUAUCUUUUCCAGAUCUACUUACAAGGGAGAACUGGUGGGAUGUAAGUAUCUAUGUGUGUGUACAUGCAAAUAUUCCACGACAAACAAACAUUAGGUAGAAAAGGGUACACCCAAAAUGUCUGUCUAAAGGAAGCAUUUGAUUUUGCGCACCGUAAAAUUGCAAUGCAUGCGUCUCAUUACUGCAUGUCAUGUACUGAAAUGAGUUCACGUUUGAUGAGGAAAGUGAGGUGAAAUCAAUCUUAUUUUUCUGAUAAUGUUGCAGUGACCUUUCAAAAAGAAAAAAACUCACAACCCUCCCCAACAAAACAACCGAAUAAAAUGUGAUGCAAAGAAUAUGCCACAGUAGAAAGCUACAGGGAAUGCAGCAGUGAUCAAUUGCGAGCACAGUUUCUACCGUGCCUGGAAUAGCAUGUCCUGUUCAGCAAAUACCUUUCAACCACAGCCUUUCUUAAAAUUCUUUAUAAAGCUAGAACCAAUACACUGAAAAAACGUAAAUAAUAUUUGUUUAAUGACAGAAUACUUUGUUGGUAAUUGCGGAUUUCUCGUUGUCGAUGCAACAAUAUCUCAGCGCAUAAAGAAGUCUGAAUUUAAAAUCUGAUUAUGUUUUGAAGGUAGGAAAUACAGGGACAAGUACCGAGUCAGUGUAACUUUCCAUACCAUCAGUGAAACUGAGAUUAUUAGACUUCGUAGCUUAACUUAAUUGUAAUGUUCAGUUAUGUGCCUGUGUGCACUGUUGCGCUUCUCUUAUCAGAAGAUAUAUGGUGGAAAUAUAUUAUUAAAAAUCAUACAGGUGUUCCUAUAUAUUUGUGACAUUUAGAGAAUAAUGUCAUUAAAAUAUGAGUAAAUACAUAAAUUAUAUCAAAUUCUGAAGCAGCUCCUUUACAAACUAGAACUUUCUUGCAGUCAGGAGAAUAUCGUUCCCUUUAUUCUCUAACUGGUAUGGGUUUCUUUUGCUGGCUCUUAGAAAAAUGCAGAUUACAUUGGCUAAUGAUACAUAGAGAUCUACAGUCUUCUCUCUUAUUUCCAGCAGUGGAUAAUGGCUUUUUAAGUAACAUAUGGUAAAUAUGCUGAAGUAUUAUCAUUUUGUAAGAUUAAAUUGAAUAUAAAAGGCAAAUAUAAUUAUUCAGUGUUCAAUAAUAACUGAUGCGUUUGCGUGUCUAUCUUAAUACAAGAAAAAAGUACAGGUUUUUAAGUCUGAGUCUUUUGUGACAUUAAAGGUGUUAUAUGUGAAA